GCCGGGCAUGGUGGCGCAUGCCUGUAGUCCCAGCUACUCGGGAGGCUGAGGCAGAAGGAUUGCUUGAGCCCAGGAGUUUGAGGUUGCUGUGAGCUAGGCUGAUGCCAUGGCACUCACUCUAGCCUGGGCAACAAAGUGAGACUCUGUCUAAAAAAAAAAAAAACAAGAACUAAAGGGAGUCCAAAAGUAAGAGUGAGCACAAGCAUACUUUCUCAUUAACUUGAGCCAGGAGUUCAAGACUAACCUGGGCAAUAUAGUGAGACCCUGUCUCU
rnacentral:sRNA from 1 species